CAAUAGCGUAUAUUAAAGUUGUUGCAGUUAAAAGCUCGUAGUUGGAUUUCUGGCAGGAGCGACCGGUCGCACGCUAUGCGUAUGAACUUGUGUUGUCUCUGGCCAUCCUUGGGGAGAUCCCGUUUGGCAUUAAGUUGUCGGGCGGGGAGUACCCAUCGUUUACUGUGAAAAAUUAGAGUGUUUAAAGCAGGCUUAUGCCGUUGAAUAUAUUAGCAUGGAAUAAUAAGAUAGGACUUUGGAACUAUUUUGUUGGUUUGCGUUACGAAGUAAUGAUUAAUAGGGACAGUUGGGGGUAGUUCUGUAUUGCAUUGUCAGAGGUGAAAUUCUUGGAUUUCUGCAAGACGAACUACUGCGAAAGCAUUCACCAAGGAUGUCUUCUUUAAUCAAGAACGAAAGUUGGGGAUCGAAGACGAUCAGAUACCA
rnacentral:rRNA from 1 species